rnacentral:misc_RNA from 1 species
UCUCCGUAGGUGAACCUGCGGAAGGAUCAUUAUCUUACUAAAUGUGAGGGGCAUUCGAGCGCUGUCGCUGACCCAAAAGUCGUGCACGACCGAGUUUCUCAUCUUGCAUAAUAAUCCAUCUCACCCUUUGUGCAUCACCGCAUGGUCACCCCACGGGAUCAUCUCGGAAGGGGUCUCGCGUUUACACACAAACCCCCCUUUCAAAAGUGUAGAAUGACCAAAUAUACGAAAUCAAUACAACUUUCAACAACGGAUCUCUUGGCUCUC